CAGCCGCCACGGUAAUACGAAGGGUGCAAGCGUUAAUCGGAAUUACUGGGCGUAAAGCGUGCGUAGGCGGUGAGUUAAGUCUGCUGUGAAAUCCCCGGGCUCAACCUGGGAAUGGCAGUGGAUACUGGCUCGCUAGAGUGUGUCAGAGGAUGGUGGAAUUCCCGGUGUAGCGGUGAAAUGCGUAGAGAUCGGGAGGAACAUCAGUGGCGAAGGCGGCCAUCUGGGACAACACUGACGCUGAGGCACGAAAGCGUGGGGAGCAAACAGGAUUAGAUACCCGCGUAGUCCCUGUCUCUUAUAA
rnacentral:rRNA from 1 species